AGUCACACAGUGCAUACAAAGUGAACUAUUCUUUCGCCUUUUACUAAAAAAUACUGUGUGCGCGUCGCAAAUUGUGACAUACGUCAAUUUUUGGAGGGUCUGACCAUUGGUCU